UCAUCGCCAUCUCUUAUUCUCUUUCACCGCCCCUCCACCACCUUCAUCGAAUCCUAAAUCGAUUCAACUUACCCAAAAGUUUUUAAAAAAACUACAGUUAUCAAUCCUCAGAGCUUUCCCACUCCGUCUUCUUGAAAGUCCAAUUUAAUGGCCAUUAUCUCCAAACUCAUCAACAGUUUCAGAAGUCGAAUAGCUAUACCUUCCAUCCAUUUCCGCUCAAGUUUAACCCAUAAAUAUACUAAUCGCCCUUUCCUCACCAUAAUCAGUUGAUUACAGGAGGCAACAAUCUUAAUAUUUGACAGCGACGUGGGUUUUCGUCUCUUGGUCGGCCACAGAUCGUUUAAAAUCUCAUAUGAACACAAGAUAGAGAAGGAUCAGAGCCACAACUACUCAUAGUUACUGACUGGCAUCUCCUCCAAAAACUGACCUCGGAUUAGUUAAUAGCAAUACAAGAGUUUGAGAUGAGAAUGAGUGCCAAGUUGAAGAUGAAUACUACCAGGUUGUUGCUAAGCGUUGGUUGCAAUGGCAUGGACUCUUUAGCUUAUAGUCAAUUUGAUUUAUGCUAGCUUGUCAUUCUGAUUUAAGUUUUUCUUUACAACCAUAUAAUAUUUUAUUGCAUAUGUUUUGUAUUGUGUUUCAACCCAUUGAUGCCAAAAGCUUAUUUGAAUAUACAUAUAAUUUCAUUGUC